CUGAAACUCUCCUCACUUCCCCCAGAUUUCUCGCUUGCCAGCCUGCUCCAAUGCCUUGAGAUGAGGCCCUACCCACAGAGAGUUCCUGUUCACGCGGGGAUGAUACCUAUUAGAUAUCAUUGUUUAUUAUUGGCCUAGAGGAAAACAGGAUCCUGAAGGCAGAAGAAGCCUGGGAACUGACUGUCCUCGCUCCUGUGCCCUGUGGAGAAUCCCAGGAUCUAACCAGCCCCAUAACCAAGAUUCGCUUAAAGCAAAGCCGCUCCAUGCAAAACAACUGAAUGAAGCCAGUUAUUUGGGUCAUCUGGACGUUUCACCUAAAGAGCAGCCAGAUCAGGUUGGCUGCCAUCCAUGUGAGCAUAAGAAGUCAGCAGACUUGGCCAAACAAAUCCUUCAGUUCAAUUUGCAUGAUGCAUACUUCAUAUCAGCAGUGAAGCCUCCAGAUGAGAUCUCUGCAUGGCAAGGUUGGAAGGAGCCUUUGCACCUUCCUUUGCUUAUGAACUCGACAAGUGCUACAAUUCCUAAUGGGGCCUCCCGCCAUAUGCAAGUCUCUGGUUUGCCAACCCCAAGACUCUAGGUCAUCUACGAGCAUAUUUCUUGUCUCUUCUUCACAGCAGGUUAUGGCUUCAAAGUAGAAUCCAAUUUUGUGAUUUUUAUGUCCUUUAUUAUGAUGAUAAACAACUUUUGCUCUUUGAAAAAUGAAUAAAAUAAGCAAGUCUUUCUAAAAAAAAAAAAGAUGUAUAUGAAUUGGCAUUGAUAUGCUUAAACCCUGUCUGGGAGGUUGAACAAGAAAGCCACAGUUACUUCUGGCGGUGCUGGUGAUGGAAAAUGGCAACUGAGCAGACGAGGGGUGAGGUGGGAUGGAGACUCUCAUUCAACACCUCUUUUUACUUUUUGAUGUUCGAACAUGAGAACUUAUUGACUACUCAGAAAAAAAAUAAGUUAAGGAAAAGAAAAUGCUCUUAACUUUUACCUUGAAGGGAAUCAGAAGCUACCACAUCGCCACAAGACUCAUCAGGCGGGAGUUACGUUAGUCUAGAGAUAAAUUUUCACAAGCAGCGAGUGGCAGUUAAAAGCCUAGAAAGAGAUGGUUCCCUGACUGUGCACACAGCCCGCGUCCCACCGGCAAGGGUGUAGGAAGCUGAGGUAAUAAGAGAGCAAAAUUUACCAAAUCGUGUCCCAUGUUAACAGCUUCUCAAAGAGUCAAACAAAAAGUGGGGCUCCUAUAGGACUUCUCAAAGCCCUGGUUGCCAUCGUGCAUUGAGACUUCCCAAGAAGGGGUGGGCAGUGUUUCCUAAA
rnacentral:lncRNA from 1 species